UCCACAUCCACCUCGAAGGCGAUGUGCGCAGUGGUUCGAUUGCUAUACCCGAGAUUGAUUUACCGGCGAUUGAUGUCGCAUCAUCUGCUGCGUCGGUGGUGGCGGAAGAGUUAGGUAAAUCAAAUCUCACAUAAAUGAUUCUCUGUUCUAUUCUCCAUUCUUCGUUCUUCUGAUUGUUUUUUUAGGUUUUUGGUGGUUAGAUGUUUGCGCCAGACGAUUCAGAAUUCAUAAGGUGUAAAGUGUGUUC